rnacentral:rRNA from 1 species
AUUGAACGCUGGCGGCAGGCUUAACACAUGCAAGUCGAGCGAGCGGCGGACGGGUGAGUAAUGUCUGGGAAACUGCCUGAUGGAGGGGGAUAACUACUGGAAACGGUAGCUAAUACCGCAUACCAUCGGAUGUGCCGAGAUGGGAUGAGCUAGUAGGUGGGGUAAGGGCUCACCUAGGCGACGAUCCCGAGCUGGUCUGAGAGGAUGACCGGCCACACUGGAACUGAGACACGGCCCAGACUCCUACGGGAGGCAGCAGUGGGGAAUAUUCGACAAUGGGCGAAAGCCUGAUGCAGCAAUGCCGCGUGGGUGAAGAAGGCUUUCGGGUGGUAAAGCACUUUCAGCGGGGAGGCGGUACCUGCAGAAAAAGCACCGGCUAACUACGUGCCAGCAGCCGCGGUAAUUC